rnacentral:rRNA from 1 species
UGAGGGUACCCGGAGAAAAAGCAUCGGCUAACUCCGUGCCAGCAGCCGCGGUAAUACGGAGGAUGCGAGCGUUAUCCGGAUUCAUUGGGUUUAAAGGGUGCGCAGGCGGGCCUUUAAGCCGGCGGUGAAAUCGCGGGGCUCAACCCCGCCGAGCCGUCGGAACUGGGGGCCUUGAGUGCGGCGGAGGCAUGCGGAAUGCGCGGUGUAGCGGUGAAAUGCAUAGAUAUCGCGCAGAACCCCGAUUGCGAAGGCAGCGUGCCGUGCCGCCACUGACGCUGAGGCACGAAAGCGCGGGGAUCGAACAGGAUUAGAUACCCUGGUAGUCCGCGCCGUAAACGAUGGAUGCUGGGUGUCCGGGGCGUUC